UACGAAGGGGGCUAGCGUUGUUCGGAAUCACUGGGCGUAAAGCGCGCGUAGGGGGUUCAGCAAGUUGAAGGUGAAAUCCCCGGGCUCAACCUGGGAACUGCCUCCAAAACUACUGAGCUAGAGUACGGUAGAGGGUAGUGGAAUUUCCUGUGUAGCGGUGAAAUGCGUAGAUAUAGGAAGGAACACCAGUGGCGAAGGCGACUACCUGGACUGAUACUGACACUGAGGUGCGAAAGCGUGGGGAGCAAACAGG
rnacentral:rRNA from 1 species